rnacentral:rRNA from 1 species
UACGUAGGGGGCAAGCGUUGUCCGGAAUCAUUGGGCGUAAAGAGCGUGUAGGCGGCUCGAUAAGUCUGCUGUGAAAGUCCAGGGCUCAACCCUGGAAGGCCGGUGGAAACUGUCGGGCUAGAGUCCGGAAGAGGCGAGUGGAAUUCCCGGUGUAGCGGUGAAAUGCGCAGAUAUCAGGAGGAACACCAAUGGCGAAGGCAGCUCACUGGGACGGUAUUGACGCUGAGACGCGAAAGCGUGGGGAGCAAACAGG